UCAAAUAUGCAAUAAUUAACACCCUCAGCGCCAGUGUAUCCUUUUAGAUAUACACUGUCCUCAACACUGUGUACUAAAAAAGAUACACAUGGCUCGUUGUGUUCGAUCUAUUGUGUCACCUAAAAGGACACACUUUCCUAAGUUUUUAUAUGUAGAGAAUAAUGCUAUGGCCUAAGCCAAUUUCCUGGUAUAACUGGGUUUGGCCUUAUGACAUAAAAAGAUAGAUUGUAUGUAACUAGAAAUUCGUAUGAAAAAUGUUGCCAUGUAUGGGCCAAAACAACUUGCUCCAACUCAUUAUGCAGGGAAAGAUUCAAGGAAAAAGAAGCAUAGGGAGAUGCAGAAUAUCUUGGCUGCGCAACUUGAGAGAAUGGUACGGAUGAACAUCAAAUGAACUUUUCAGAGCAGUCGUCUGCAAAGUCCUAAUAGCUAAGAUGUAUUGUCAGAGAAAUAGCAAAUAAUCCCAAAAAAGUGCACCAAAAUUGAGAGAUGAGGUGGAAACACAGUUUGGAAAAAUAGGUAACCCUAAAACAAUUAAACGGAUAUUACAAAAGAAUAAUCUACCUACAUAGCUGAACUGCAAGAAAUAAAUCUUUUAUCAGCCAAAGAAAUAAGCAACAAGGAGUUUUGUUUUCUUUAUUAAUAUUCUCCUUUAAAAGUUUACAUCAUUUUAGCUGAUAUCAAAAUCGUACACAAAAUAAUUAAAGAACUAUUGUUAUUUAAGUAUGGUAUAUUUGAAACCCAAAACAUAGCUUUGCUAUUUUAGAGGACUUAUAGUUAGUAACUUACUGUCAGUAUGUAAUUUUUUUUCUUAUAUUGGGUCACUGACACAAGCUAGUUUUAUUGAGUAACGACUGUAUCAUUUCAGAAUUGAAGCUGUGAGUCACUGUAGGUGCAGUACAAUAAUUUUGCUUAUACAAAUUAUCAGUAAUAAUAUUUAUUUACAUCAAAAUAAAAAUUCCAUCACAUAAUGAUGUCUAACAGCUGAUUGUCAUUUGUCUUUAUUGCUUAAUUCUCUGACCAAUACGAACACAGAUAUCACGUGGGUAGUUCUAACCAAUAAAAUCGUGGAAUUCAUAGCGGUAUUUAACGGCUCGUAUCCAAACCACGUGACCUCUGGUUGGCACACAAACUAAAGAAGAGGUUAUGUUUGUGUCUAUUUUUCAAUGAUUUUUCAUUGUUUAUCGUCGUAUUUUGGAUUCAUUUGGAUUUCGUUUCCUGUUUUUGUGAACUUUAUAAACUUUACCACAAUGCGAACUGAUUAUUUAAGGAAAUUAUUAUUGGAAACUCCAGAUGUUGCGAGAAAGAUAUUUAUUGAAGCUGAAAAUAAUUGGGGAUUUAGAUCCAUACGGAAUUGAGUCAGAAUUGGAUUUUACAGUAAAGUGCAGUCCAUCAAGUUACUAUUAUAGAUAUGUAUUUAUACAGAUCUGGUGGAGUCUCACAGUUGCUACUCUAAGCAGCAGAUGAAAGCAUACAAAAGCCUUCAGGCACAUAAAUAUUUUACAGCUGGAUUUGUUUUGAAUGGAGUAAAAAUUGUUAAUGAUUUCCUGAUUUCCAUAUUAUUGUUGGAAAGGUGAAGCAUUUCCAAAAAGCUAAUGCUAAACGACUAAAUGCUUGGGUGGGGUGAUAGCCAGUUCUGAUGACAUAGCAAAUGCACAUUGUAUGCGUAUGGCCGGUAAUAGUGAAGUCUGCAGCCAUAUUGCAGCAAUAUAUAUUGCUGACCUGUAAAAGUACAUUUGUACAUUAUUACCAAUAAAUACUCUACUCUACUCUACUCUACUCUAAUCCUAUUUUUAGCUGAGUAUGCCCAGAGCAAGACAGACGAAGAAGAACCCAAUGCAUGUACAUAUGUUACAGCUACAUGGUUUGGAGAUAGCAACAUAUGCAUUCUCUGAUGAAAAACUAAUGAGUUUUGAAACUGUUCGGUCAGAGUGCUUGUUGCGCUCACUAAACGAACUGAAAUAUAAGAAGUCUUUGGCAUUGUGUUGCAGCGAUAUGAAAAUGGUUAUUCAUUUUUAAUUAUAAUGUACUUCUUCAUCAUGAGUAAUUAUGUAUUGGUCUUUUAGAUGUGUAUUUAUUUUUGUAAUUAGUAUCAACUUGUAAUGAUAAUAUACAUUUAUCGUUUAAGGUACGACUAUGUUUUGACUCUAAAAUAAAUGUUUUAAAAAUCGAA